rnacentral:rRNA from 1 species
UACGUAGGGUCCGAGCGUUGUCCGGAAUUACUGGGCGUAAAGAGCUCGUAGGUGGUUUGUCGCGUUGUCCGUGAAAACUCACAGCUCAACUGUGGGCGUGCGGGCGAUACGGGCAGACUGGAGUACUGCAGGGGAGACUGGAAUUCCUGGUGUAGCGGUGGAAUGCGCAGAUAUCGGGAGGAACACCGGUGGCGAAGGCGGUUCUCUGGGCCUUACCUGACGCUGAGGAGCGAAAGCGUGGGGAGCGAACAGG